rnacentral:sRNA from 1 species
AAAAGUCUUAAGGUAGUUGCUGCUUCCUGCUUGAAUGGAUAGAAGCUGUGGACAGUUGUGCAAAAAUGUUUCAGACUUUAUACAUUAUUUACAAAGUGUUCUAGCUUUGUAAAUUCUUAUCUCUCUCUUUUCAGAAAUUGGCUAAACUUCUGCUCUGUGGCACCGAGUUGGUGACAAAUAUCCAGGUGGCUAUAGAUAUCAGAGAGAUUCACAGGAGAGUCGAAGAAGAGGAGAUAAAGCGUCAAAGGAGUUAAAAACAAAGGAUGACCAGUAUGUGAAGGAUUUGAAGAAACAGUCAGAUGACAUCUGCCUGCUUCUGGAGCGGAUGGAAGAACAGGUGAAGAAUGUGAUGAAAACCUUUCGUGAGGAGCUCUAUAACAUUGAGAAAGCAUUUGAGGUGGAACGCCAAGAGCUACUGGCCAGUAAUAAGAAGAAAUGGGAGCGAGCCCUUCAGGCUCAUAAUGCCAAAGAGCUGGAGUAUCUUAACAACCGCAUGAAGAAAGUAGAGGACUAUGAGAAGCAGCUGAACAGGCAGAGGAUCUGGGAUUGCGAAGAAUACAACAUGAUCAAGAUCAAGCU